CCCUUAGUUAUCCUAGGCCGCACGCGUGUUACAAUGACUUUUUCAGCAAGUUCUCCUGGCCCGAGAGGGUGCGGGUAAUCUGAAAUCAAAGUCGUGUUAGGGAUAGAUCUUUGCAAUUAUAGAUCUUGAACGAGGAUUUUGUAGUAAGUGCGCGUCAUCACCGCGUACUGACUGCGUCCCUGCUGUUUGUACACACCGCCCGUCGCUUCUACCGAUUGAAUGUUCCGGUGAGUAAUUUGGACCCGGGGGGGCUUGCUCCUCUGGGGAAGUUUCGCAAACCUAGGCAUUUAGAGGAAGAAGAAGUCGUAACA
rnacentral:rRNA from 1 species